rnacentral:rRNA from 1 species
GGAGACGCUGCGGCAGGCCUAAUACAUGCAAGUCGAACGGUCAUCUUCGGAUGACAGUGGCGGACGGGUGAGUAACACGUGAGAAUCUGCCUUAAGGUCGGGGACAACAGUUGGAAACGACUGCUAAUACCGGAUGAGCUGAAAAGUAAAAGAUUUAUCGCCUUAAGAAGAGCUCGCGGCUGAUUAGCUAGUUGGUGAUGUAAAGGAUUACCAAGGCAACGAUCAGUAGCUGGUCUGAGAGGAUGAGCAGCCACACUGGGACUGAGACACGGCCCCAACUCCUACGGGAGGCAGCAGCAAGGAAUCUUGGGCAAUGGGCGAAAGCUUGACCCAGCGACACCGCGUGAGGGAUGAAGGCCUUCGGGUUGUAAACCUCUUUUCUUGGGGAAGAAUAAUGACGGUACCCAAGGAAUAAGCCUCGGCCAACUACGUGCCAGCAGCCGCGGUAAUACGUAGGAGGCGAACGUUAUUCGGAUUUACUGGGCGUAAAGGGAGCGCAGGCGGCUCGUUAAGUCAUGCGUAAAAUCUUCCGACUUAAUCGGAAGGGGCCGUGUGAUACUGGCGGGCUUGAGAGCAACAGAGGGAAAUGGAAUCCCCAGUGUAGCGGUGAAAUGCGUAGAUAUUGGGGAGAACACCAGUGGCGAAGGCGAUUUUCCAGGCUGUUUCUGACGCUGAGGCUCGAGAGCGUGGGGNAGCGAAGCGGAUUAGAUACCCGCGUAGUCCACGCCCUAAACGGUGGACACUAGAUAUAGGANGCAUCGNACCCUUUCUGUGUCGAAGCUAACGCUUUNAGUGUCCCGCCUGGGGAGUACGGCCGCAAGGCUNANC